AUGUCCACUCUGAGGCUGAAAGGAGUCAAGUGUACAGAAUGUUCAGCCGGGUCCAUUAUGUGGGUCCCGGAGCUAUCUAAGUCUCAAGGUCAAUUCCACUCACUUUCUUUGAAGAAGAGAAAUUAUUUGAAAGCAAAUGACUCCAUGGGCCUUGCUUCUUGCUUUGAAACAGUUUUACUUUUGAUCAAUAUUAAAUCACCCCCAAGAUGCAAAUUAUGUGUGCAUCUAUUCCCUGUCUGUUUUAAUGGUAAUGAACAAAUAAUAUGGACUUUGAUUCAAGUGAGAACGUCAGAACUACAAAAGGAAAAAUUGACCUUGAAGAACACGGUAUUGAAUCAUGCAUCCAAUCCAUGUGACUGGACCACAAGAAAGCUGAAUUUCAUAAAGGAAAAGAUAAUGAGAGGGUGUCAUGCCACUCAUGGAAAAGUAGAUGAUGUUAAAUCUUUUUCUCUAGGCUCUUAAUGACUCUAAUUACCAUACUACUCAAAGCGCUUUUUAGAGUCAGUUAAUUCAA
rnacentral:lncRNA from 1 species